rnacentral:rRNA from 1 species
AUUGAACGCUGGCGGCAGGCCUAACACAUGCAAGUCGAACGGUAACAGGAAGCAGCUUGCUGCUUUGCUGACGAGUGGCGGACGGGUGAGUAAUGUCUGGGAAACUGCCCGGUGGAGGGGGAUAACUACUGGAAACGGUAGCUAAUACCGCAUAACGUCGCAAGACCAAAGAGGGGGACCUUAGGGCCUCUUGCCAUCGGAUGUGCCCAGAUGGGAUUAGCUAGUAGGUGGGGUAACGGCUCACCUAGGCGACGAUCCCUAGCUGGUCUGAGAGGAUGACCAGCCACACUGGAGCUGAGACACGGUCCAGACUCCUACGGGAGGCAGCAGUGGGGAAUAUUGCACAAUGGGCGCAAGCCUGAUGCAGCCAUGCCGCGUGUAUGAAGAAGGCCUUCGGGUUGUAAAGUACUUUCAGCGGGGAGGAAGGGAGUAAAGUUAAUACCUUUGCUCAUUGACGGUACCCGCAGAAGAAGCACCGGCUAACUACGUG